rnacentral:lncRNA from 1 species
UCUACUUAUAAUAUCAUUGAGUUUUAGCUUAUUAGUAGGUAAGAGAAGCCACAUGUUCAAAUUCUUAAAAUUUGUCCGAGAACCUACAUAAGGUUGACCUACUUUCUCUCUCUCUCUUCUUUUUUUUUCUUAAAAGAAAAUAAUCUUUUAGUUCGUAGAAACUCCAAAUAUUAGUUGAGAGUCUAAAUAUUAAAGGAAAAGAAAUAUAAGACACCAAUAAAUUUGACUUGAAUUUCUAAUUUAUAUCAUCAUCAUUAUUAUCCACAUUUUAUCCCAACUAUUUGAGAAUUACCCAUAUUUUGCAAUACUUAAAUGUGUUCAAACUAACGGCAGUGACAUUCUUAAUUAUGUAAAUUAAAUUGUAUAAUGGCAUUUCAUGUAGCAAUGUACAUUAAAGAAAGCAAAGGACAAAGCAUCUAUUAAAGAA